CCGUUUAAAGAGGUACGUGAGCUGGGUUUAGAACGUCGUGAGACAGUUCGGUCCCUAUCUUCCGUGGGUGUAGGAUACUUGAGAGGAGUUGCCCCUAGUACGAGAGGACCGGGGUGAACGAUCCACUGGUGGACCAGUUGUUAUGCCAAUAGCAGUGCUGGGUAGCUAUGAUCGGACAGGAUAACCGCUGAAGGCAUCUAAGCGGGAAGCCCCCCUCAAAACAAGGUAUCCCUGAGAGCCGAGGUAGACCACCUCGUCGAUAGGCCAGAGAUGUAAGCGUGGUAACACGUUCAGUUGACUGGUACUAAUUGCUCGAUAGGCUUGAUUUGAUCCAG
rnacentral:rRNA from 1 species